UACGUAGGGGGCAAGCGUUGUCCGGAUUUAUUGGGCGUAAAGAGCGUGUAGGCGGCCAGGUAGGUCUGCUGUGAAAACUCGAGGCUUAACCUCGAGCUGUCGGCGGAAACCAUCUGGCUAGAGUCCGGAAGAGGAGAAUGGAAUUCCCGGUGUAGCGGUGAAAUGCGCAGAUAUCGGGAAGAACACCCGUGGCGAAGGCGGUCAACUGGCCCGUAACUGACGCUGAGGCACGAAAGCGUGGGGAGCGAACAGG
rnacentral:rRNA from 1 species